rnacentral:rRNA from 1 species
AUUGAACGCUGGCGGCAGGCUUAACACAUGCAAGUCGAGCGGAGAUGAGGUGCUUGCACCUUAUCUUAGCGGCGGACGGGUGAGUAAUGCUUAGGAAUCUGCCUAUUAGUGGGGGACAACAUUCCGAAAGGAAUGCUAAUACCGCAUACGUCCUACGGGAGAAAGCAGGGGAUCUUCGGACCUUGCGCUAAUAGAUGAGCCUACGUCGGAUUAGCUAGUUGGUGGGGUAAAGGCCUACCAAGGCGACGAUCUGUAGCGGGUCUGAGAGGAUGAUCAGCCACACUGGACUGAGACACGGCCCAGACUCCUACGGGAGGUAGCAGUGGGGAAUAUUGGACAAUGGGGGGAACCCUGAUCCAGCCAUGCCGCGUGUGUGAAGAAGGCCUUAUGGUUGUAAAGCACUUUAAGCGAGGAGGAGGCUACUGAGACUAAUACUCUUGGAUAGUGGACGUUACUCGCAGAAUAAGCACCGGCUAACUCUGUGCCAGCCGCCGCCGUAACAC